GCUCCCAUAGUUCAGUGGAUAGAACAACUCUCUCCUAAAGAGUAGACACAAGUUCGAGUCUUGUUGGGAGUA
rnacentral:tRNA from 1 species